GAUGAAGAACGCAGCGAAAUGCGAUAAGUAAUGUGAAUUGCAGAAUUCAGUGAAUCAUCGAAUCUUUGAACGCAUCUUGCGCUCCUUGGUAUUCUGAGGAGCAUGCCUGUUUGAGUGUCAUUAAAUUCUCAACUACACUGACUUUGAAUUGGUGUGGCUUGGAUUUGGGGGGAAAAUUGUUGUGGGCUUUUUGUAUAGUCUGCUCCCCUGAAAUUGAUUAGCGGUACCUUUGUGGAACUGUCUACAGGUGUGAUAAUUAUCUACAUCUUAGACAUCUGCUGGAAUGCUGCUUUCUAAACCUUAAUUGUAUUGACAAUCUUGACCUCAAAUCAGGUAGGACUACCCGCUGAACUUAAGCAUAUCAAUAAGCGGAGGA
rnacentral:misc_RNA from 1 species